rnacentral:rRNA from 1 species
ACUCCUACGGGAGGCAGCAGUGGGGAAUUUUGGACAAAGGGCGAAAGCCCGAUCCAGCCAUUCCGCGUGCAGGAUGAAGGCCUUCGGGUUGUAAACUGCUUUUGUACGGAACGAAAAAGCCUUUUCUAAUACAGACGGCUCAUGACGGUACCGUAAGAAUAAGCACCGGCUAACUACGUGCCAGCAGCCGCGGUAAUACGUAGGGUGCAAGCGUUAAUCGGAAUUACUGGGCGUAAAGCGUGCGCAGGCGGUGAUGUAAGACAGAUGUGAAAUCCCCGGGCUCAACCUGGGAACUGCAUUUGUGACUGCAUCGCUAGAGUACGGCAGAGGGGGAUGGAAUUCCGCGUGUAGCAGUGAAAUGCGUAGAUAUGCGGAGGAACACCGAUGGCGAAGGCAAUCCCCUGGGCCUGUACUGACGCUCAUGCACGAAAGCGUGGGGAGCAAACAGGAUUAGAUACCCUGGUAGUCCACGCCCUAAACGAUGUCAACUGGUUGUUGGGUCUUCACUGACUCAGUAACGAAGCUAACGCGUGAAGUUGACCGCCUGGGGAGUACGGCCGCAAGGUUGAAACUC